rnacentral:ncRNA from 2 species
AUGUUUAUUCUCAAUGUCGGUUUUAAUGGAAAAACCAUUAAACGCAAGGGGGAAAGUUUGGUGUAAAUCCAACGCUGUCCCGCAGCUGUAAUGAGGCUUAUGUCUCUGAGUCAGAAUGCCCGCCGAAAGUGAAACUAACCA